GGCUAAAAGUUAGACGUGCGAGCUUUUUUUAUAAAGGUAUUACGUGUGUUUUUCCAUGCAAUGUUCUUAUAUCUGUGGAUUUAGUCUCAGACAUCAAUACGUACAAAUUUUGUAGAUAAGUAAGGCUUUCAGUCAAGUUUUACACCACGGUUGACCAAAGAAUGCAAAACUAACCUAAAAUGGUGCUGACACUGAAGUCUUAAAAGUGAACUCAAAGGCGCUAAAUGUGAAGCUAAAAAUCAAUGAAACGUUACAUUUGUACGAAGUCGCAGGCAUCAGCUAGUUUAAUGUAAUUUAUAUUCACAGAUAUAAAAUAAAAAUCUCUGGUAUUAUUAUAUUUAUUAAAAAAU